AUGAGCCCGCCAUCACCUGAUACCAUAACGAAGCUUACGCCAAUCUCAUAGUGAUAGGAAAAGAUUCUUGCAAGUGCUAUGCAGCGCGAAAAAUCGCGAAAAAUCGAGUUUAGCCUUGUUU
rnacentral:rRNA from 1 species